GAUCACCAUUAAUUCUGGCGGCAAAUAGCGUGUUAUUAAGGUUUCAGUUCACACACAAAACAGAGCGUGGAAACGGAGGAGAUCGGAGGGCUAGCGGCCCGCAGGCCCAGCAGCAACUCCUAUCACCAUUUUCUGUCGUGGGAGCAUGUCUACCCUCUUCCGCCGCCGCUCACUGGCGGCUUACGUCUACGGCCAUGUGCUGAACUCCCAUAAGGUCCACACUUCAACAGCUCCACUGCUGCAGGAAACCGGUCUCUACGGUUUCAACCACUUGAAAACUCCCAAAGGCUUCCGACGCUUUGUUGAGGACGCCAUAGAAAGGUCAAAUGAGCUCGUCACCUUUAUUUCUGGAAUGCCAUCUGCUCCGGAAAUUAUCGGAGCCAUGGAUGAGAUAUCCGAUACAGUAUGUUCAGUUAUUGACUCUGCAGAACUGUGUAGAGCUACACAUCCGGACAGGGAAUUUGUUGAGGAGGCAAGCGAGGCGUCCCUGAGGAUUAAUGAAUAUAUUCAUCAUCUUAAUACAAAUCAUUGCCUGUACAUGGCGGUGGUAAAAGCUGAGCAGGAUUCCCAUUUGCUAAAUGAAGAAGCUCAAAGAGUAGCCCAUCAUUUACGUCUUGACUUGGAAAAGGCUGGCAUUCAUCUGCCUAGUGAACAGUUGGAUCGAGCUAAUCAGCUUAAUAUGGAGAUUGUUCAGCUGUGCAGAGAGUCACAUGGAUAUCUUUCCAGCAUCACACAUCCCAAAAAAGUUACACCAUCUUGCUAGGCCUAUCUAUCGGACUACAUCAGGUGCAUUUGGGGGAUCAGCAUGGUCUAUGACAAACAUGAAAGAGAAGGGCUUUCGAUUACCAACCGAUCCAAAUACUCUCUCCUCUAUUCUGCAAUGGGUAUCAGAUGCUGAGAUUAGGAAAACCGCUUAUAUACAAGGAAACUCUGCCCCACUUGGAAAUCUUGGUGUCCUCGAUAAGCUUAUUGCAGCUCGUCAUGAGUUUGCUCAGAUUAUGGGCCAUAGUUCCUAUGCAGAUCUUGCUGUUCACUCAAGUAUGGCUUCAUCACCUGAUAUCGUAUUAUCGUUUUUGCUUGAAAUGAGCGAAAUAGUUAGACCUAGGGCUGAUGAGGAGUUUAAGACAAUUUGGAAUUUCAAGAGAGAGAAAAGUGGCCAGCUCUAUGGAGACUUGGAGCCAUGGGAUGAAACAUACUUUACCGCUAUAAUGAAGUCUGCAGUUUAUGAUUUAGAUUCCUCGGUAUAUUCUGCAAAACCUGCAUGCAUUGUAGUUUGUCAUUUAUAUUCCGUUCCUACUAUAGGCUAGCUUCUUAUUGUCCAUGUAGUUUGAUAUUGUUUAUACUGUUAAACCAUGAAUGAGCAAUUGUUAAUACUGGUGCACAUGUUUAGCUUUUGCCUUUAUACUUAAACAGUGGGAUAGCUUUCAUGGAAACUCAACAUACAAAGCCUACCUGCCCCAAGCAAGUUGUUAUUCUGUUUUAUUUUGCUUGAUCAUGACUCAGUAGAUUGGUUUUGGAACCACGACUUUUCAGCACUGGUUACUUUAGUUUAAAAACUUGCAAAACUUAAUGGGGACUUAAAUGCAAUUAAGUCAAUAGGUGAGAAGGUAAGAAAUCGAUUUGCCUUAAUGUAGAUUUGGAACAAAUAAGGGAGGCUUAGAACAACUAUUUAGAUGAUUGGUUGAGACUGCUCGCAUCCAGAUUUUUAUUAGUAGCAAAGGACUGGGUUUCUGUUUGUACCUUAUCCUGAUACUGAGAAGGGAAAUUUGACUUAUUCCUUUAGCUGCUAAUAGUAGAUUAAGGACUUCCACUUUUAGUCAUUCAGAAACUUUAGUCAACAUUAAGAAAACCUAAUUAAUAAAUGAGGGUCUAAUAUUCAAGAACUAUUCUCUGCGCAUAUUUAAGUCUUCCAAUCCUUGUAAGGAUGUACAGGUGGGUGCAUUGGCACCAACUAAUAUCUUUAUUGUAAAUUGUUGGUAACUUUUUCCCAGUAGCUGGAAUGCUGCUCAUUAUUUGUUGUUCACAUUGCCUACAUUUUUAGCAAUUGCAUAAUAUAAGAAAAAAAUUGAGCAAAAGUCAUCGUCAAAUGCCUUUGUGAAUGUAAGAUGGUUGACAAUAGGAUGGCUUUAAUUGCUAAAGCUAUUCCACUUGUUGCUAUGUGUAAUUUCUGCAGUCCCAUAUGUUGCUGUAUAGACACUUUGUUGUGUUUGCUUAAAUAUUUGUUCAAUUACCUUAUUCUCUUCAAAUUGCAAAUAGUAGGCUCUUUAUUUAAAUUAUAUGAUUGGCUCUAUCCAUUAAGCAGGUUGUUGCAUCAUUUUUUCCUUUAUCCCAAUGUCUUGAGGGCUUGAAAGUUCUUGCUGAGUCGUUGUUUGGUGUGACAUUUCACCAUAUUCCUCUUGCCCCUGGUGAAUCAUGGCACCCAGACGUCAUUAAAGUAGCCCUACACCACCCGGAUGAGGGUGACUUAGGGUACUUGUACCUUGAUUUGAAAUCGAGAAAGAAUAAGCAUCCUGUUUGUGCUCAUUUUGCUAUCAAAGGGGGACGUCGAUUAUCUGAAACAGAUUAUCAACUUCCUGUAUGUGAGGUUCUUUCUUCUUUAUUCUCAUUCUACAAUUUCCAUCUGGAAAUUGUGAUGGCACACGUUUAUAAUCUGUGGUAUCUUAUGACCACUGGAUGUGAAAUGUUGAUCAUUCUACAUCUUCUCCUGGAAUAUAUGAUAUUAUGCUUUAGAAUUGUGGUAUUGAGUUCUGUGCUUGAAAUGCUGAUCACCUUUAGCAAAUUUCAUUCUGAUACAAGGAAAUGAGGUCCUUGACCACUGAAUGAAAUCAAAUUUUCAAACUCAUAUCUUGAAUUCAAUGGUGGGCGUUGCCAUUCUUGGGUAUAGAUUGUUUAUUAGCAUGAAGGUCUCAAAGGCAGGAAACUUUGUGUUUGCUUAAAUGCUGAGUAGAAGUUUCCCCCAUGGGAAGUUUAACAGUUCUAGAUGUUAUUCCAUAGUUUGUAAAACUUGGUUUUUGACUAUUUAUGCCAAUCAGACUUUACUCAGCUUUUUCCUGGUCAGAAUCCAGGACUUAUGCAACAUGAGUCAUGUCAAUCGAUGUACAGGCAGUGUCAGGAUAGUCAUGCAGAGGUUAAGUUGAGGUCCUGGUGAUGCAUGACAUUCAUGAGAAUUUUUGGUAAUUUUUUAGCUGUACCAUGCUACAUACAACCUUCUUUAGUUGCUCUGGAUAUUUUUAUGUGUGAACUCGAGUAUACAGAUGAUGCAAGCAAAUAUAGUAAUGUGAUCAGAAUGAUGCUUGGCAUUCUUUGUAUGUGCCUGGGAAACACAUAUUAACAAAUAUCUUAUGAUUGCAGUAAGAAAUAGAUCUGUGCAUAUGAUGUUUAUACUGGAUAUAACAGACUUCUUCUUGAUAACCUGCAGAUUGUAGCCCUAGUCUGCAACUUCUUGGGCUCUAAACCAGCAUCUUUACUCAACCACUGGGAAGUAGAAACACUUUUCCAUGAGUUUGGACAUGCACUUCAUUCAUUGCUUUCCAGAACGGUAUCUGAUGAAUGGGAUGGUAGUUGACUAGUUUUUACUUUGUUUUUCUUAUUUGAAGUGAUUGUUUGCCCUUGAUGAUCUGGUAUGCAGGAUUACCAGCAUUUUUCAGGGACCAGAGUUGUUAUCGAUUUUGCUGAGACACCUUCCAAUCUCUUUCAGUACUAUGCUUGGGAUUUUCGGAUCCUGAAGACAUUUGCUAGGCAUUAUUCUACCGGUGACGUAAUACCUGAAGAUUUGGUGAAAUCCAUAAGGGGAGCCAAAGAUAUGUUUUCUGGUACUGAGUUGCAGCGACAGAUAUUUUACGCUUUAAUUGACCAAAAGUUGUUUGGGGAAGAGGCAUCCUCCAUAAGGGAUACUGCUUCAAUUGUAGCGGAAUUAAAAAGACAACAUACCAGUUGGAAGCAUGUUGAUGGCACACAUUGGCACACCCGAUUUGGUCAUCUUGCAUCAUAUGGGGCAGGAUAUUACAGCUACUUGUAUGCCAAAUGCUUUGCUGCAACAAUAUGGCAAAAGAUUUGUGAAGAGGAUCCGCUCUCAUUAGCCGCAGGAUCUGCUAUUAGGCACAAGUUCUUGCAGCACGGAGGAGCCAAGGAUCCUGGUGAUAUAUUAAAUGAUCUCGCGGGAAAAGGUAUCUUAAAUUCUCGUUAUGGCGGUAUAGUUCCUGACAUUACAAGCCUGAGUCAUGAAAUGGAGCUAAAGAAUUAGCAACCUGAAGUGGUGACUGUACAAGAAUCGGAGAAGUUGAGUUAGACGGCAAGAAAACACAUUUGUAGGUGUAUUAUGUACAAAACCAUCUACGGCUCAAGUGAACAAGUGGCUGCUGCUGUUCUGUCAUCUUGACGUUCCAAGUCACAAAGAAAGUUGACGCAUCAAGAUUACCACCACAACCACUGGGCCAUUGGCUCAGUGGCCACUGGCCACCACCUAGUUGGUGAUCCCUUGCCUCCCAUAAAAAAUGUCACAUUUAAGUGGCUUGUUUUAAAAAAAAAUUCAGGCGGAUGUGCUGUGUAUCUGUCUAGUCCGGUGGUAGUUCAGUCCCCUCCGGAUUAUUUCUGGGCCUCCUUAGGUCCGCCCCUUUCCCCUUAGUGUAAGAUAGAUUAGGUUUAUCGUCUUUGAAAAAAAAAAAAUCAAGAUUACCACCACUUGUAGGUGUAUUCUGCAAGCGUCAAACACUAAAUAGGGCCCCGGUUGGCAUAGAGCUGUCUUGUAUCGUCUUGACGCCUUUCGAUUGUCUUGGCGACUGUAGACAUGUACUCUUAUCAAUCGCUUAUUUAGACAUAAAAAUAAGAAAAACCGGCAUUGGCAGCAUUUUGGUCCUGUCCGCAUUGAAAAAGUACAGAAAUAGAAUAGCUAUUUUGCUGUUG